UCUUCAUUUGACCAAUUUGAUCUUGGUGUGUUAAAAUUUUCUUCUUUUUUCACUUUGGUUUAUUAUUUAUGUUCGAUAUUCCUAGUGCUUUGAAAGCCCCAAUAAUUUAAAUCGUUGUACUUCCAAUUUCCGUUAGGUGAAUUUGUUUGCCUUGUUCUCAGUAAUUCCUAUUUAAGAUUUUUGUUUAGUUUCUUGCAUGCAGUAAUUUGAUAAAAUAAUUUUGAGUUUUUGGAAUUUCUCCAACUGUCACUUUUGACUAUAGGUUUGCUUUGAAUAUACAAAAUUUACUGAAGUUAUUGGUUGAUAUGUUUUUCUAUAACUUUGCUUUGAUCUAUUUAUUUGCUUAGUAGAUAAUUUACAGGUGCAAAUUUUAUUUUAUUCUUCGAUCUUUUUUUAUUCUGAUUGAGCGGGAUUAGAAUGGCUUAGAAUACAUCUCAAAAUGUUGAUUUUUUCGAGUCGCUUUUGUCUAUACCUAGCGGAAUUUGUAAUGAAGUUGUUAGGUAUUUAUCUUUCGUCAAUAAACAUCUAAUGCCGAUGUCUCCAAAUUUGUCUUUUAUUUCAAUAAUUUUUUGUUGAUGAUGAUUUAAAGCUUCAAGUUUCGUUGUCUCGCCUUUUCUAUGUGGGUUUAGCAUUAAGUUUCUUCCUAUUUUUCCAUUGACGUUUUGAAAUUAUUUUCAUUUGUAGUGUGAAGUUAAGAAUCUCCAGCCACAUCUACUAGAAUUAGUUAUAUCCCUUUACUUCAUGUCAUUCUUCCUCUGGUUAUGAUGUGGGCUUAUGUUUCUGCAUUUAAGGUAAGAUAAAGGGCCAGACAUAUUGGGGUCGGAGGAUCCAUCCAACAAUCUUUUUUAUGACAAAACGAUUUACUAUCAAUAAAAAUCACCAUGGCUACACAUGAGUAGACUUAUAAAGUCUAGCUUAUAGAUUAAGGCCCUUCCCUAACCAAAAAAGAGAGAAACAAGAAAUAUCAACUAAUGGCAUUACAAGAUGAAGAGAUAUUGAUCAGACAGUAACUUCGUGAUGGCAAUAUCAACAACAACUAGAUGAAAGUGUCCAUAUAUAAAUUAAUUUGAGUAAUUUUUUUCAGAGAUAUGAUAGCAGACAGAAGAUUGGAAAGUCAAUCAUUCAUCACUUUAGGAACAGUUUUCUGGGAAAGAUUAUUGAGGCUGAUAGGUCUCAAACUCAGGAAAAGAUUGAGGAAACUCAACUGCGAAUUUUUAAGAACGGUACAAAUAUCACACAUUAUGAAAAGAGUUUGUUCCGUUCCAAAGACACUUGGUGUCGAUGGACAUGUCCAAGAAUCAACAAUGGCAUAUGGAACUCGUGUUCAUGAUUUCACUUGGACGAUCGAUCGGGGCACAAUUGUUGAAACAAUAGAAGAGCCCUCCAUCGUAAGAUUCAAAUGGAAGCAAAAUUCAAAAUUUCAUCAUCAUUGAUUAUCACAAUAUUUAACUUCGUGUCUCCUGAAGGGACACAAAUAAAAAGAACAAAAUUAGGAGACACGAUGAAGGCAAUUGCAGCUUCUUUAGAUGGAGAAAGACUGAAAGGUAAUUUUAUCUAGAGUUGCCCAACUUUGAAAAGCAGUCAAAAGGAAGCAUUAUGUAAAUAUAAUAGGAUGUAAAUAUCUAAAUAAUACAACCAUAAAAACAAAUUAAACAUUGUCAACUAUAUUUACAAUAUCUAGCGAUCUCUAUGUAUCUAUCUAUGUCCAUAUAAACAUUUAGCCAGCUCAUACAUUUCUAUAUGUUUAGAUCCAAGUAACAAAAAAUUUCCAACGGUAGCACGGGCCACCUCUAUCUAGUAUUAAUAGAAAAAAAAAAUAAGGUGGACUACAAUUUGGGAAU